AAAACAGUCCAGUCCUGUAAAUCCUGUCACGAUGAUGAAUUUCCCUACUUCUCUCUUAGUCGUGUUCGUAUGUUCUGGGGCCGUAUUAAGUCGAGUAGCAGAUGCGUUUUGUCUGGCCGAAAUAGGAGGAUCAUGCAGCGACUGCGCAACGAGGUGUUCAUCAACAUUUGGUGGUUUUAUUGGAGACUACUGUGAUGAGGAAGGAUCUUGCCGAUGCACCUACAAAUGUAUGAAUUGUAGCGUGACGUAUGGGUUCUUCAAGUUAGGGUGUUUGGACCAAGAUUGCCAAACAACUUGCGAUGAGAAGCUACAUGACCGAGGUGUAGACAUCCAUGGUUAUUGUGAACGUAACAAGUCUGAGGGCUUCACUUGCAUGUGUGAGUUUAAGAGUCCUGAUUGUAUGAUUUAUGAAUAAUUAUGAUUUAUGAAGUAAUUAUGAGAGAGA